UUUUAUUUGAGAGUUUGAUCCUGGCUCAGGAUGAACGCUGGCGGCGUGCCUAACACAUGCAAGUUGAGCGAUUUACUUCGGUAAAGAGCGGCGGACGGGUGAGUAACGCGUGGGUAACCUACCCUGUACACACGGAUAACAUACCGAAAGGUAUGCUAAUACGGGAUAAUAUAUUUGAGAGGCAUCUCUUAAAUAUCAAAGGUGAGCCAGUACAGGAUGGACCCGCGUCUGAUUAGCUAGUUGGUAAGGUAACGGCUUACCAAGGCGACGAUCAGUAGCCGACCUGAGAGGGUGAUCGGCCACAUUGGAACUGAGACACGGUCCAAACUCCUACGGGAGGCAGCAGUGGGGAAUAUUGCACAAUGGGCGAAAGCCUGAUGCAGCAACGCCGCGUGAGUGAUGAAGGCCUUCGGGUCGUAAAACUCUGUCCUCAAGGAAGAUAAUGAC
rnacentral:rRNA from 1 species